UACGGAGGAUGCAAGCGUUGUCCGGAAUGAUUGGGCGUAAAGCGUCCGCAGGUGGCACUGUAAGUCUGCUGUUAAAGAGCAAGGCUCAACCUUGUAAAGGCAGUGGAAACUACAGAGCUAGAGUACGUUCGGGGCAGAGGGAAUUCCUGGUGUAGCGGUGAAAUGCGUAGAGAUCAGGAAGAACACCGGUGGCGAAAGCGCUCUGCUAGGCCGUAACUGACACUGAGGGACGAAAGCUAGGGGAGCGAAUGGG
rnacentral:rRNA from 1 species